AUUUCAGUUAGAAUCAUCAUACCUGAAUCCACUCAUUAUGCUGCUAUGGGCCUGAUGACAUAGAUUUCAUUGCUGAGUGAUACUGCAUUGUACUUAGAAUCAUCAUACCUGAAUCCACUCAUUAUGCUGCUAAGGGCCUGAUGACACAGAUUUCAUUGCUGAGUGAUAUUGCAUUUUAGAAUCAUCAUACCUGAAUCCACUCAUUAUGCUGCUAAGGGCCUGAUGACAUAGAUUUCAUUGCUGAGUGAUAUUGCAUUGUA